rnacentral:piRNA from 5 species
AGAGCCCGGAUAGCUCAGUCGGU